AAGGUGUCAUAGAGAAAAAGUUACAGGUCAGUGGCAGAGCCGUUGCUUUGUGUGGCAUCACAAAUCCAACUCCUAGCAUCUCGUAGAGAAAAGGCUCCUGGACAUCAGGAGUGACUUUUUGUCAGCCUUUCUGGUGAAGUCACCAAAGCAAGGCAAGUUCAUGUAUCUGUCAGGAAGUCUGGUGAAUAUGUCUGUUUCUUAGGGCUUUAUUCUGGUCUGGACUGGGAAAGUGUUUCUGCCUAUAGGAGGGCAGAAUAGAUUGAAAAGUACUAAACUCUUGCCCUUUUUCUGAUGUUUAAUCACCACAGACUUGGCAUUUGUGCCGUUGUUCAAUCCUGGAAUGUAUAAAGGGUGCUUCUGAGCAUAUGCAAAAAACACUCAAGACUUAGCUCUUGCAAGCAAUGCGAGACUAGAGGAGAAGGUGCAUUUUCCAUACUGGUUAGAAUUUCAGAGCUUACAUAGGUCCCCUAAGAUGUUGACUAAGCUUAUAGUACAAUCCAUGUUAUUGUAAGUGCCAUAGAAAGUGACUGUGUUUAUAAAAUUAAUGUAGAACUGAUUAGAAGUUAUAAUUUAGAAUGAUUUGGAAUGAAGACAUGCCCUUCAAUAAAUAUUGUGAUUACAGUGGUCAAAAUGUUUCUGUGCUGACAAUAUAAUAAUAGGAAUAAUAGGAAUGGGGACAGAGAUAUUUUUAAUUUCAGCCAUAUUGAUCAUUAUAAUAUCAAAAUGUAUGGCUGUUUAUUGUUAUGCAUAAUGUGUAAAGUAUAUAUUUGGUACUCUGUUAUGAUAUAAUUUCUAUACAUCAGAAGUAAAGUUCAUUUGAUAAUAAACACUGUUUGUUUGCUUCUUUAAAGAAAUAAUUUAUCUUUUAAUAAAAUCUUGUCCACUCAGUAUCCAAAUUCUUCCCUUCGCUGUUACCAGUUGAGGACUGUUCUCCUUUUAAAUGCAUUUUGAAUGGCCAGUCUGAUCUACUGGUUAAGAAAACCAUGAAUACUAGUCCUACCGAAGGCAGGAAAAUCGAUUGGGUGACUUCGGGCCAGUCAUUAUCUCUCAUCCCUCCAUGGUCAAGAUGACAUAGCUAAGAGGACUUCCCUUAAGUCUCUUCCCCAAAUCAUCUCUGUAAAGUAAACUGGGCUGACAGCAAUUACCUAAAGUGAAGUAGAAUACACGUUUCCUGGUGGAGUCAGAUUAGCUAUUUGCCAAAGCAAGACCUGCUGAUCUUGUCAUCUCCAGUUUUACUUCAUUCAUAGAAUGAUCUAACCUGAAAAUCUUAUACAUCCUCUUCCUUGAUUAGAAUUUAAAGAUCUGGAAAAAACAGAAAUUAGAGUUUCAGUCUUACCUCUUCACUCAUUCCCUUGCUGUAACCAAUGAAGCUAUGAAAGGAAAGUCUGGUUGCAUGACACAAGCAUAGUCAACAAAUUUGCCAUGCACGCCAUUUGAAAGAUCAAUCUACUUUGUCCUAUGGGAAUUAGCUGAGAGCGGAUCUAUAGACCCUUCUUUUAGAGGACGCGAAGAGUUUUUAGCUCUACUUUCUUUUCACUUUUUCUCAGAUGAAUUCUUCUUCUCAUCAUUCCCAUUGAAUUCUUCCCUUUCCAUCCUGAUUUUUUUUUUUAUCUAAAUAAAGAUAAGAAAAAGCAUUG